rnacentral:rRNA from 1 species
AGAGUUUGAUCCUGGCUCAGGAUGAACGCUAGCGGCAGGCUUAAUACAUGCAAGUCGUGGGGCAGCGCAGUGUAGCAAUACAUGGGCGGCGACCGGCAAACGGGUGCGGAACACGUACGCAACCUUCCUUUAACUGGAGAAUAGCCCGGGGAAACCCGGAUUAAUACUCCGUAACAUUAUGAAGUGGCAUCAUUUUAUAAUUAUAGCUCCGGCGGUUAGAGAUGGGCGUGCGUCUGAUUAGGUAGUUGGCGGGGUAACGGCCCACCAAGCCUACGAUCAGUAACUGGUGUGAGAGCACGACCAGUCACACGGGCACUGAGACACGGGCCCGACUCCUACGGGAGGCAGCAGUAAGGAAUAUUGGUCAAUGGACGCAAGUCUGAACCAGCCAUGCCGCGUGGAGGAUGAAGGUCCUCUGGAUUGUAAACUUCUUUUAUUUGGGAAGAAACCCCCGAUUUCUAUUGGGGUUGACGGUACCAGAUGAAUAAGCACCGGCUAACUCCGUGCCAGCAGCCGCGGUAAUACGGAGGGUGCAAGCGUUAUCCGGAUUCACUGGGUUUAAAGGGUGCGUAGCGGCUUGGUAAGUCCGUGGGAAAUC